GAUACGACCGUACCGCAAACCGACACUGGUGCGCGAGAUGAGUAUUCUAAGGCGCUUGAGAGAACUCAGGAGAAGGAACUCGGCAAAUUGACACCGUAACUUCGGAAGAAGGUGUGCCCUAUUAGUGUGUAGUGAACAACGAAGCAUGAAUGGGUUGCAAAAAAUCGGUGGCUGCGACUGUUUAUUAAAAACACAGCACUCUGCAAACACGAAAGUGGACGUAUAGGGUGUGACGCCUGCCCGGUGCUGGAAGAUUAAAUGAUGGGGUGCAAGCUCUUGAUUGAAGUCCCAGUAAACGGCGGCCGUAACGAUAACGGUCCUAAGGUAGCGAAAUCCCUUGUCGGGUAAGUUCCGACCUGCACGAAUGGCGUAACGAUGGCCACACUGUCUCCUCCUGAGACUCAGCGAAGUUGAAAUGUUUGUGAUGAUGCAAUCUCCCCGCGGAAAGACGGAAAGACCCCAUGAACCUUUACUGUAGCUUUGUAUUGGACUUUGAACAGAUCUGUGUAGGAUAGGUGGGAGGCUUUGAAGCAGGGUCGCUAGAUCUUGUGGAGCCAACGUUGAAAUACCACCCUGGUGUGUUUGAGGUUCUAACCUAGGUCCAUUAUCUGGAUCGGGGACAGUGCAUGGUAGGCAGUUUGACUGGGGUGGUCUCCUCCCAAAGCGUAACGGAGGAGUUCGAAGGUACGCUAGUUACGGUCGGACAUCGUGACGAUAGUGCAAUGGCAUAAGCGUGCUUAACUGCGAGACUGACAAGUCGAGCAGAUGCGAAAGCAGGACAUAGUGAUCCGGUGGUUCUGUAUGGAAGGGCCAUCGCUCAACGGAUAAAAGGUACUCUGGGGAUAACAGGCUGAUACCGCCCAAGAGUUCAUAUCGACGGCGGUGUUUGGCACCUCGAUGUCGGCUCAUCUCAUCCUGGGGCUGUAGCCGGUCCCAAGGGUAUGGCUGUUCGCCGUUUAAAGAGGUACGUGAGCUGGGUUUAAAACGUCGUGAGACAGUUUGGUCCCUAUCUUCCGUGGGCGCUGCAGAUUUGAGGAAGCCUGCUCCUAGUACGAGAGGACCGGAGUGGACACACCUCUGGUGUAUCGGUUGUCACGCCAGUGGCAUUGCCGAGUAGCUAAGUGUGGAAGAGAUAACCGCUGAAAGCAUCUAAGCGGGAAACUCGUUUCAAGAUGAGAUCUGCCGGGGCCUUGAACCCCCUAAAGAGUCGUUCAAGACCAGGACGUUGAUAGGUCAGGUGUGGAAGCGAAAU
rnacentral:rRNA from 1 species